UACAGAGGUCUCGAGCGUUAGGCGGAAUCACUGGGCUUAAAGCGUGUGUAGGUGGAUCGUUAAGUACCUUGUGAAAUCCCACGGCUUAACCGUGGAACUGCUUGGUAUACUGGGCGGUCUUGAGCCACCUAGGGGCAGACGGAACAAGCGGUGGAGCGGUGAAAUGCGUAGAUAUCGCUUGGAACGCCGACGGUGAAAACAGUCUGCUGGGGGGUGUGCUG
rnacentral:rRNA from 1 species